rnacentral:rRNA from 1 species
GUGGGGAAUCUUGCGCAAUGGGCGAAAGCCUGACGCAGCCAUGCCGUGUGAAUGAUGAAGGUCUUAGGAUUGUAAAAUUCUUUCACCGGGGACGAUAAUGACGGUACCCGGAGAAGAAGCUCCGGCUAACUUCGUGCCAGCAGCCGCGGUAAUACGAAGGGGGCUAGCGUUGCUCGGAAUUACUGGGCGUAAAGGGCGCGUAGGCGGACAGCUUAGUCAGAGGUGAAAGCCCAGGGCUCAACCUUGGAAUUGCCUUUGAUACUGACUGUCUUGAGUUUGGGAGAGGUGAGUGGAACUCCGAGUGUAGAGGUGAAAUUCGUAGAUAUUCGGAAGAACACCAGUGGCGAAGGCGACUCACUGGCCCAAUACUGACGCUGAGGCGCGAAAGCGUGGGGAGCAAACAGGAUUAGAAACCCUAGUAGUCC